rnacentral:rRNA from 1 species
ACGCUCGACACCUACGGGGGGCAGCAGUAGGGAAUCUUCCACAAUGGACGCAAGUCUGAUGGAGCAACGCCGCGUGAGUGAAGAAGGUCUUCGGAUCGUAAAACUCUGUUGUUAGAGAAGAACACGAGUGAGAGUAACUGUUCAUUCGAUGACGGUAUCUAACCAGCAAGUCACGGCUAACUACGUGCCAGUAGCCGCGGUAAUCUGAGCGGGCUGGCAAGGC